rnacentral:rRNA from 1 species
UACAGAGGGUGCGAGCGUUAUCGGAAUUACUGGGCGUAAAGCGUGCGUAGACGGUUAUUUAAGUCGGGUGUGAAAGCCCCGGGCUCAACCUGGGAAUUGCAUUCGAGACUGAAUAGCUAGGGUACGGUAGAGGGAAGUGGAAUUUCCGGUGUAGCGGUGAAAUGCGUAGAUAUCGGAAGGAACAUCAGUGGCGAAAGCGACU